rnacentral:rRNA from 1 species
GGGAGGUAAACCCCUUCUAAAGCUAAAUAUUGGCCAGAGACCGAUAGCGCACAAGUAGAGUGAUCGAAAGAUGAAAAGCACUUUGAAAAGAGAGUUAAACAGCACGUGAAAUUGUUGAAAGGGAAGCGCUUGCGACCAGACUUGUGCUCGUCGAAUCAGCCGUCGCUCGUCGGCGGCGCAUUUCGGCGGGCUCAGGCCAGCAUCAGUUCGCUGUAGGGGGAGAAAGGCGGUAGGAAUGUGGCUCUUCGGAGUGUUAUAGCCUGCCGUGUAAUACCCCUCGGCGGACUGAGGACCGCGCAUCUGCAAGGAUGCUGGCGUAAUGGUUGUCAGCGAC